CAAGACACAUUAUGAGUUAUCAAUUACACAUAAAGACAUAUUGAGUUAAGAGAACACUUUCUUAUGUUCAUUUGUCUGAAUUGCCCUUCAACUAAAAAGAAGAUGUCAUAACAUGUGUCAAAAUUAUUUUCAAUAUAAUUCCAUUUAACUUUCACCUUUUAGUUUCAUAUUUUUUAAUUCCCUAAACUUAAUCAUGCCUCCAUCUAUCAUCAUCUUCAUCUCUCAUCUUUCGUAUCCUUCUAAAUAUUCUUCUACUUUACUAAAUUUGUAGAUUUUUUUUUUUUAUAAUUCUAAAUUACUAAUUUUUGUUGUCGAAUCUUUAUCUUUCACCACUUUAUUUUUUAAAUCUCGAAUUCAUGGAAACCUCAGAUUGGGAGCUAAGGAAAGUCGAUUCUGAAAUUUCAGCUUGGGUGAUUCUAGAUCUUCGCCGACGAAUACAUCCAAGACAGCAAAACCGAUGUAUCUCCUGCAACAUUUGAUUCACAUGUCGCCCAUCCUUUUCAUGUCCAUCAAUUUCCUUGUCCACAAAUGAACUAUCCACAAAGCUGUCUUGGAUCUAAGUUUGAUUCACAUGUCGCUCAUCCUUUUCAGUGGAUUAGCUCGUGAUUUUCCGUGGAUGAACUUGGGAUUCGACGUGGAUGAACUCGAGGUAGUUGCCUUGGAUCUAAGUUUUUUAUCUCUUCAUGGUGGCUUCUGUUGCAGAGAGAAAGCUCUAAAAGAAACAAUGGUCAAAUUACUCUAUUUUACACAUAUAGUCCUCCCAUUUUUGGAUUUUUGCAAUUUGACCCCAACAUUCUUUAAUUUACUUAUAGAUCCUCUUGAUUUCGUCUCAAACUUUUAAUUAUGUACUUUACGUAAGAAUAAUUUUCUUAUCAACUCAUAUCCACACUUGCUAUGUCCAUUAAAUAUUAUUUAAUAAAAUAAAAAUUUAUAAAAUAUCAAAAAUAUAUAUAUGGAUACAAAUAUAUUUUGUCCAUAGAAACUUGUCCACAAAAACAUUAUAACAUUUUUGUGUCCACAUAAAUUAUGUCCACAGAAGCUUGUCCACAGAAGCUUGUCUACAUAAAUUGCGUCCAUUGAAUUGCGUCCACACAAAAAGCUUAAUCCCUUUCUCUCUUUCAAAACGUCACAAUACAAUAUGUUCUCUAGAUGGAUUAUCUUCAAACAAACAACACAAACCCUAGAUAGAUUAAACUUCAAACACGAUCUUUGUCUACAAUAACAUGUUCACAAACAGUCAUAGUUACACAACUAUAAUUGUAAGAGCUUGUCCAUAAGAACAGGUCCACUACAAACUUGUUUAUAAGAACACAUUCACAUGACUCUUGUCCACAACAUAUAUAUCCACCAGAAAACUGUCCACAAUGUUAACACUCGUCCACAAUUCGUCUAUCCAUAUAACACUCGUCCACAAUUCAUCUGUCCACAUAACACUCGUCCACAAAGACGUAUCCAUAAAAAAAUGUUACAAAAACCUGUCUCCAAUCCAUGCUACAACUUCUUUAUUUUAUUCAUGAUUGAUAAAAGAGAGAGACAUCAAGUAUAAGAACAUAGUUGUUGUCCUUUUAUUGGUAGAAAACUAUAAUUUGAGGAUUGUGAAGCAGAAGUAGAGAAAUAAAAUUUAUUGGGGUCUAAACUGCACAACUGAAAGUUUGGUGUUAAUUUAAGAGGACAUUUCUGCAAAACAAUCGAAAGAAAUCAAAAAGUGAAGGACCAAAUCUGAAAAUUAUUGAAAAUCCACCAUUGUUGCUUGAUCUCUUAUGUGACGAGACAGAGACAGCGAUGAUGAGCACGACGAGGCUUGAAUCCGAGCAUGACACCGUCGGCAGAGCAAGACGACGGAGAUGGUCUGGUGGCCUGAGACAGACGCGACGAGCUGCGGCGGAAAAGAGAGAGCUCAAGACAGGUGAAUCACGGAGGAUAUGAAGCAUACGCAACAAAGGAGGUUUGCGGUUGAGAACUGUUGGUUGGAGUACAGUGGCUGGAGAUUGUAAUGGGAGAGAAGCCGCCAAGCUUGGUUGCCACGAGUUGCAGUCGAAGGUGAGAAGAUCCACGAAGAAAAUGAAUCAAGUGAAGCUUGCGACAGAGACAGAAGAUAUUUCAGUUUGGAAAAAAACAUUAAUAAUCCAACUAUUUUCCUAACUUAACUAACUAGAAGAAAGUAACUAAUUCUUUUUUUUUUGCUAACUACACGUAAAGCUAAAGGGCAUAAUGGUCAAAAAAAAGAUCUUAGUUUCAUGAAUUGUGUGCUUCAGACAUAAUGUGUCCUUUUAUGAAAGAAAAAAGACAAAUGUGUCUUUGAGAGUAACUCACUCUCUAAUACUCGCAUUUUAUUCACUUCAUUGAUAAUGAUAGUUGCAUGAGAGAUAUAACUCCUUUUUCACGAGACACAUAUCAUGUGUAAUUACAUGAAGAAAAUUAAAUCGAACAUAAAAUAAUCAAAUAUUGUUAUGUGUUAACGAAUAUAUUCCACAUAAGUGUUUGUUGAGUUACAUAGCAAUUGUAAAGUUGCGAAAUGUUUUGGAUGCGUCGAACAAAGUCUCCCAAAGAGAAAAGAUU